CACAAAUCAAAUUGAACCGUUCUCAGUCUUUAGCGAGGUCCCUCUACAGCUCCACAUGUGGUGGAAUGAUUUGGGAGAUGGUAGUAAAAAGAUAGUGGAAAGAAUUUUGGGAGGUCUGGUCAAUCUGUUGGAUAUCAAGACAAUGACAGACAUCAUUUAAUGAUUUGGGAGAUGAUAGUAAAAAAUAGUGAAAAGAAUUUUGGGAGGUCUCGUCAGUCUGCUAGACAUCAAGCCAAGGACAGACGUCAUUGAAGCUUUAAUACCGUUCUGGGAUCCAACCCAUUAUGUAUUUCACUUUACAGACUUUGAGCUUACACCUACACUAGAGGAGGUUGCGGUUAUGUAGGUUUGGAUGGAAAAUUGAGGGGGCAAUAUUUGCUUUCACCUAGACCGGUGUCUCCACAUGGGUUUUGAAUUUGCUACACAUUAAUCGGAAAGUGCAAGAUGACGAUUUGUCGAAAGGCUAUUGUGCUCUUCAAUUCUUAUAUCAACGGUAUGGUACUUCUCGGGGUUUUGAAGAACUGAAUCUCGGGCUAACUCACAAUGGGGACAAAAAUAAGUGGGAGGCAAGACGUCCUUUAGCUUUCCUGAUGGCCUUCUUGGGAAUCGUGGUUUGUCCAUGCAAAGAAAAGAAAAUAGAGAUAGGACUUGUUGGGAUGGGCGACGUCGCGAUCAAAAGGCCCAAUAGUACUGUGGUCCCUUUGGUGUUAUCUGAAAACUACCAAGCCUUAACUGUGCGUCGGGAGGGAGGCGAUUAUUUCCAGGGUUGCAAUGUAUUACUCUAGCUAUGGAUACAGGAACAUCUCUGUCAUCGUGUAGGAUACAUGUAUCACGGGUUAACUGAAAAAAACCGCAUCAGUGUUUUUGAGAAAUGGGUGACGGGCGUUGAAUUCCCUGAAGGUGUCGAAUCAUGGUUUGCACAAUUGAGGUCAUUGACAGCUAAUCAAGUUGAAUGGGCAUUUGGAUGGUUGCCUGAUACCGAGGUAAUACACAUGG
rnacentral:lncRNA from 1 species